CCUACGGGAGGCAGCAGUGAGGAAUAUUGGUCAAUGGACGAGAGUCUGGACCAGCCAAGUAGCGUGAAUGAUGACUGCCCUAUGGGUUGUAAACUUCUUUUAUAUGGGGAUAAAACGUUCCACGUGUGGGCUUUUGUAUGUACCAUAUGAAUAAGGAUCGGCUAACUCCGUGCCAGCAGCCGCGGUAAUACGGAGGAUCCGAGCGUUAUCAGGAUUUAUUGGGUUGAAAGGGAGCGUAGGUGGAGUGUUAAGUCAGUUGUGAAAGUUUGCGGCUCAACCGUAAAAUUGCAGUUGAAACUGGCAGGCUAGAGUACAGUAGAGGUGGGCGGAAUUCGUGGUGUAGCGGUGAAAUGCUUAGAUAUGACGAAGAACUCCGAUUGCGAAGGCAGUUCACUGGACUUCAACUGACACUGAGGCUCGAAAGUGUGGGUAUCAAACAGGAUUAGAUACCCGGGUAGUC
rnacentral:rRNA from 1 species